GGGUGAACUCAUCUUGCUUGUCCUCUGAUCUCAAUGCCCCAGUUUUGGAGUGUCAGGAGCAUGUGAACCCUGUGGCAGAGCAGUUAGAGAGGAGAGAGAAGGAGCAGUCUCAUGUUUUGGGACUCUGGAUCUUUGAAAAAUCUCUGAUAUAUGUGUUGAUCAAGAUGAACCCUACUUAGCUUCCAUGUCCAGAGAAAGUCAGCCAAGUAUUACCAUCUGCUGAAGAUUCCCAAAUAUAGAGGUAUGGAAAGUUACUAAAGGAGUCACACAAAGCCAAUUGGCAAGGCUGCUUUAGGAUCCAAUGAAGCAAAUUCAAAAAUAUGUCCUUUGUGUUUGGUGCUAUGCAUUUUAAAGGACCAACUACAAAGUAUUUGUUUAGAGUAGCAAUAAAAAUAUAAAAUAAUGUUUAAUUAAGGAAAUAUCAAUGACUGGACUAAACUAUUAGUAUGGCAUAAAAUGCUGGCAAAUAAGUGAGCAUUCAGCUAAAACGAUUCAAUCAAUUUUAGCAACAGAUUAACAUUAAAGAAAAAAUGAAAGUCAAUUUUGUAACACAUACCUGCAAACUUGACUGUUAUGUGGCUGCCUUUGUUAAGCACAGAAUUUUAAUUGAAAUGAAACCAGUUUUGUUUUGAAAAAUGCAGAAAGGAUAUUUGUUAUUACAUAUGAAAUAUAAUUUAUAUGGUUCUUUCUAAAUAUUUCUAUCUUCGCCCCAAUAGUAUAAGGGAGUCCUUUUCUUUGUCUUGUGUCUAGUUGUGUUAACUAAGUGUUCUCAGCUACUAUGUUAUUUUAUAUUAUUUCACUGUUUUGUAAAUCUUUAAAAUUAGUUUUACUCUUAUUCUGUUUUUAACUGUUAGCCACCCAAUCAUGCAUAUGAGAUGGGCAGCCAUAUAAAUUUAUAAAAGAAAUAAUGUAUAUUAUUUGUUACAUAUCUUGUCAUUCAUUCCUUCUCUUUUGUCUAUAAAACUAAAAAUAACUGGCAAUAUUUAUUAUAUCGUCAAAAGCCAAAGUAGCACACUCAUUUAUAUAUUAUUUAUUUCUAUAUUAUAUUUAAAUAUUAAUUUUAUACAUGACACUUUAUGUAUUUCCAGAAUAA